UUUCUGUAUUAUACCUUAAUGAUACAUUUUUAACUAUUUCCUGACACCUCAAUUGCCAAGAUUUCUUUGCCUUUCCAUGGACAAAUCCAGACACUGCAAUCUACACAACUUAUUUAGAGUCCUACCUCAAGGCUUCAUGGACACUCCACACUUCAGCUGAGCCCCUGCUGCUGAUCUCGUGGCUCUCAACCUUUUUUUUUUUUUUUUUGUGGCUCUCAAUCUUAAACCUGACUUUCUUCUCCAAUAUACAGAUGAGCUUCUCCUCUAUUCUCCAGUCUAUCCUCUAACUACAUAACAUCCAGCUACCUUUCUCAACUAUCUCUCAAGUUUCAAACAUAGGGUGUUCCCUACUAAAGCCCAAAUAGCUUCACCAAAGAUUAAA
rnacentral:lncRNA from 1 species